GUGGCGAGUGGCGAACGGGUGAGUAAUACAUCGGAACAUGUCCUGUAGUGGGGGAUAGCCCGGCGAAAGCCGGAUUAAUACCGCAUACGAUCUACGGAUGAAAGCGGGGGACCUUCGGGCCUCGCGCUAUAGGGUUGGCCGAUGGCUGAUUAGCUAGUUGGUGGGGUAAAGGCCUACCAAGGCGACGAUCAGUAGCUGGUCUGAGAGGACGACCAGCCACACUGGGACUGAGACACGGCCCAGACUCCUACGGGAGGCAGCAGUGGGGAAUUUUGGACAAUGGGCGAAAGCCUGAUCCAGCAUGCCGCGUGUGUGAAGAAGCCUUCGGGUUGUAAAGACUUUUGUCGGAAGAAUCCUUGGUCUAAUAUAGCCGGGGGUGACGGUACGGAGAAUAAGCACCGCUAACUACGGCCAGCACCGCGGUAAUACUAGGUGAAGCGUUAACGGAAUUACUGGGCGAAGCGGGCAGCGGUUGCUAA
rnacentral:rRNA from 1 species